GUAUAUAUGGCGGAGUGGCAGAACGCAUAGGCCUCAUAAGCCUCUUCGAUAAUUUAUCGACAUCGCAGGUUCGAAUCCUGCUAUAUGCA
rnacentral:tRNA from 1 species